rnacentral:tRNA from 1 species
UCCAGGGUAGCCUAGUGGACAUGGCAUCUGCCCGGUAAGAGGAAGGUCGUGGGUUCGAUUCCCGCCCCAGGAC